rnacentral:rRNA from 1 species
AGCGAACGCUGGCGGCAGGCCUAACACAUGCAAGUCGAACGAAGUCUUCGGACUUAGUGGCGGACGGGUGAGUAACACGUGGGAACGUGCCUUUAGGUUCGGAAUAACUCAGGGAAACUUGUGCUAAUACCGAAUGUGCCCUUCGGGGGAAAGAUUUAUCGCCUUUAGAGCGGCCCGCGUCUGAUUAGCUAGUUGGUGAGGUAAAGGCUCACCAAGGCGACGAUCAGUAGCUGGUCUGAGAGGAUGAUCAGCCACAUUGGGACUGAGACACGGCCCAAACUCCUACGGGAGGCAGCAGUGGGGAAUCUUGCGCAAUGGGCGAAAGCCUGACGCAGCCAUGCCGUGUGAAUGAUGGAGGUCUUAGGAUUGUAAAAUUCUUUCACCGGGGACGAUAAUGACGGUACCCGGAGAAGAAGCCCCGGCUAACUUCGUGCCAGCCGCCGCGGUAACAC